ACAAAGUUUUAUUAAUUAAACAAAUUACAAGUAGUUGUAGAGACGGUUCUCCCACUCAGCUUCAAAUUUAAGAACAUAACCCCAAAAAGGUUCACUUGGCCAAACCUCAUGAUAAACUUUAGUUAAAAAUACUAUCUAAAGGUUCUCCAAGUAAAUCUACUAAAAUUGUUAAUCAAAAAGAUUUACUUGGCCGAACCUCGUGAUGAACUUCAGUUAAAAUACUACCUAAAGAUUAUCCAAGUGAAUCUACUAAAAUUGCUAAGGCUUUCCAAUCAGAUAGUUUAAAUUCGUCAAUAGCAUCAAUUAGUGCAUCUCGGGUAAACUGAUAAUUUCCAAUAUAUUCAGGUAGUGAAUCCUUAAGCUCGCUAAAUUGCUUUUCUCUUUCCCUUCGUUCAGUCAUCCGAUCCCUUAAUUUAUUUUGCAUCGGCCUUGGGACAUUCCCGAUGACUUGAGGCUCCGAGCCAAAAUCAUUAUAGGAAUAAGUUUUGCGACGGCGUACCCUUCUACGUUGUCCCUUCCUUGCCUUUGAGAAUGUCACGACCCAAACCCAGUCGUGAUGGAGCCCGGCUGCGAGGCUAGGCAAGCCCGACCAAACCAUAAAUAAGAACGACAUCCCAGCCCAAAGAGAAGCAAUUUAGGAAUAACCAACGAAAUUCAAUAACAAACUCCUAAUCCAAGGGGUAAUUCAUACCCAAGAAAAACACAGCUGAAUAAUAAUCCUCCCAAAAACUGAGGGGUCAUGAAUCCAGAGCCUCUAAUAAAACAGAAUACAAGUCUGAACGGAAAUUAUACAAAGUCUGAUAAAAUAGCAAAAGAAGAUGAGUGAUAGAGACAGAGUAAGUGGUCCUGCGAACGCUGGGCAGCUACCUCAAUACUCUUAAUAGCUCGAGAAAUCAACAGCAGCAGCACUAAGUCUCUGGAGCACCUGAAUCUGCACACAAGGUGC
rnacentral:lncRNA from 1 species